rnacentral:rRNA from 1 species
GAGUUUGAUCCUGGCUCAGAUUGAACGCUGGCGGCAUGCCUUACACAUGCAAGUCGAACGGUAACAGGUCUUCGGAUGCUGACGAGUGGCGAACGGGUGAGUAACACAUCGGAACGUGCCCGAUCGUGGGGGAUAACGAAGCGAAAGCUUUGCUAAUACCGCAUACGAUCUACGGAUGAAAGCAGGGGACCGCAAGGCCUUGCGCGAACGGAGCGGCCGAUGGCAGAUUAGGUAGUUGGUGGGAUAAAAGCUUACCAAGCCGACGAUCUGUAGCUGGUCUGAGAGGACGACCAGCCACACUGGGACUGAGGCACGGCCCAGACUCCUACGGGAGGCAGCAGUGGGGAAUUUUGGACAAUGGGCGAAAGCCUGAUCCAGCCAUGCCGCGUGCAGGAUGAAGGCCUCGGUUGUAAC